CUCUCUUUUCGGUAGGAAAACCGAUGCUGUAAGGAAAAGUGAAGUCCUAACUGUGGAGAGAGCUCAGCCAUGAUGUCCACGUCCCUGCAGACCAGCAGCCAGGUGGACGAAGAGCUUCUGAAGCUCAGUAGUCACUAUGAGUGCAGACGUCGGUCCAGGUCCGUACACAACGACUGCUGCUGUUUAAUCUGGAGAAUCCGGGUGUUGAAUCGUCCCCUGCUCCUGAAGCACCGACUCCCCCCUUUGGCGUCCGUCCUGGGCAGUGUCCUCUUGUGGCGGGCUCCUUUCGUUCCGAGUGGUUCUUUCAGGCUGAGUUUUUACUCUGGACAGUCGUCUGGUUGUGGACUUGAAGACUGAGCCUUGAGGGUCAAGGUAACAGAAGAAAAGGUUCUGACCGAUCCGCGUCCGUGGACCAAAUGGAACUUCACCGGCGUCCCGAAAUCGGUCACCAGCUUCAAGAAGUCGUCAUUCUUGUAUGGACCCAGCGGGAGGCUGAAGAAGGUAACCACUCGGGUGGACGAAGACUGCAAACAACAACAACAUCAGACACAUCCCGACCAACAAAACAAACCGAUUUGAUCAACGUCGUUAUUUCCUUCUCACUCUGGAUUCAUCUUCUUCGACUUCUUUAUCUGCAACAAAUCAGCGGAAAGAUGAAAUGUUAAAUCUGAUGACCUGAUGACCUCACAUC